rnacentral:rRNA from 1 species
AUUGAACGCUGGCGGCAGGCUUAACACAUGCAAGUCGAGCGGGGUGAUGGUGCUUGCACUAUCACUUAGCGGCGGACGGGUGAGUAAUGCUUAGGAAUCUGCCUAUUAGUGGGGGACAACAUUUCGAAAGGAAUGCUAAUACCGCAUACGUCCUACGGGAGAAAGCAGGGGAUCUUCGGACCUUGCGCUAAUAGAUGAGCCUAAGUCGGAUUAGCUAGUUGGUGGGGUAAAGGCCUACCAAGGCGACGAUCUGUAGCGGGUCUGAGAGGAUGAUCCGCCACACUGGGACUGAGACACGGCCCAGACUCCUACGGGAGGCAGCAGUGGGGAAUAUUGGACAAUGGGCGGAAGCCUGAUCCAGCCAUGCCGCGUGUGUGAAGAAGGCCUUAUGGUUGUAAAGCACUUUAAGCGAGGAGGAGGCUACUUUAGUUAAUACCUAGAGAUAGUGGACGUUACUCGCAGAAUAAGCACCGGCUAACUCUGUGCCAGCCGCCGCCGUAAAAC